rnacentral:rRNA from 1 species
AGUACGGCGAGUGAACCGGGUAAGUAAGCUUCAAAUUUCUCGUAAUUCCUUGGGCUUGUCUUCCGAUAGUCCGAGUUGUAAUCUAUAGAAGCGUUUUCCGUGCUGAACUGUGUAUAAGUCCCUUGGAACAGGGUAUCAAAGAGGGUGACAAUCCCGUACUUUACACAAUCAUCAGUGCUCUGUGAUACGUUCUCUACGAGUCGAGUUGUUUGGGAAUGCAGCUCAAAAUGGGUGGUAAAUUCCAUCUAAAGCUAAAUAUUGGCGAGAGACCGAUAGCGAACAAGUACCGUGAGGGAAAGAUGAAAAGCACUUUGGAAAGAGAGUUAAACAGUACGUGAAAUUGUUAAAAGGGAAACGAUUGAAGUCAGUCGUGUUUAUUGGAUUCAGCCGGUCUUCGGUGUACUUCCUUUAAACGGGUCAACAUCAGUUUUGUUCGGUGGAUAAAGAUGCUAGGAAUGUAGCUUCCUCGGAAGUGUUAUAGACUAGUAUUGCAUACACUGGAGGAGACUGAGGACUGCAGCUCGCCUUUUGGCCGGGGUUCGCCCACGUUCGAGCUUAGGAUGUUGACAUAAUGGCUUUAAACGACCCGUCU